rnacentral:rRNA from 1 species
CACGUAGGGUGCGAGCGUUGUCCGGAAUUAUUGGGCGUAAAGAGCUCGUAGGCGGUGUGUCGCGUCGGCCGUGAAAACCUGCAGCUUAACUGUGGGCUUGCGGUCGAUACGGGCAUCACUGGAGUUCGGCAGGGGAGACUGGAAUUCCUGGUGUAGCGGUGAAAUGCGUAGAUAUCGUAAGGAAGACCGGUGGCGAAGGCGGGUCUCUGGACAGUUCCUGACGCUGAGGCACGAAGGCCAGGGGAGCAAACGGG